rnacentral:rRNA from 1 species
UACAGGAGGGGCAAGCGUUGUUCGGAAUUACUGGGCGUAAAGCGCACGUAGGCGGAUUGUUAGGUCGGGGGUGAAAUCCUGGAGCUCAACUCCAGAACUGCCUUCGAUACUGGCGAUCUCGAGUUCGGGAGAGGUGAGUGGAACUGCGAGUGUAGAGGUGAAAUUCGUAGAUAUUCGCAAGAACACCAGUGGCGAAGGCGGCUCACUGGCCCGAUACUGACGCUGAGGUGCGAAAGCGUGGGGAGCAAACAGGG